UACAGAGGUCUCAAGCGUUGUUCGGAUUCAUUGGGCGUAAAGGGUGCGUAGGUGGUGACGCAAGUCUGGUGUGAAAUCUCGGAGCUCAACUCCGAAAUUGCACCGGAUACUGCGUGACUCGAGGACUGUAGAGGAGAUCGGAAUUCACGGUGUAGCAGUGAAAUGCGUAGAUAUCGUGAGGAACACCGGUGGCGAAGGCGGCGACCUGGGUUGAUAUUGACGCUGAGGCGCGAAAGCGUGGGGAGCAAACAGG
rnacentral:rRNA from 1 species